rnacentral:rRNA from 1 species
CGGCGGACGGGUGAGUAACGCGUGGGUAACCUGCCUCAUACAGGGGGAUAACAGUUAGAAAUGACCGCUAAUACCGCAUAAGACCACGGUACCGCAUGGUACAGUGGUAAAAACUCCGGUGGUAUGAGAUGGACCCGCGUCUGAUUAGGUAGUUGGUGGGGUAACGGCCUACCAAGCCGACGAUCAGUAGCCGACCUGAGAGGGUGAUCGGCCACAUUGGGACUGAGACACGGCCCAG